rnacentral:rRNA from 1 species
AACGAACGCUGGCGGCAGGCUUAACACACGCAAGUCGAGCGCCCCGCAAGGGGAGCGGCAGACGGGUGAGUAACGCGUGGGAAUCUACUCAUCUCUACGGGAUAACGCAUGGAAACGUGUGCUAAUACCGUAUACGUCCUUCGGGAGAAAGAUAUAUCGGAGAUGGAUGAGCCCGCGGUGGAUUAGCUAGUUGGUGGGGUAAAGGCCUACCAAGGCGACGAUCCAUAGCUGGUCUGAGAGGAUGAUCAGCCACACUGGGACUGAGACACGGCCCAGACUCCUACCGGAGGCAGCAGGGGGGAAUAUUGGGCAAGGGGCGCAAGCCUGAUCCGGCCAUGCCGCGUGAGUGAUGAAGGCCCUAGGGUUGUAAAGCUCUUUCACCGGUGAAGAUAAUGACGGUAACCGGGGAAGAAGCCCCGGCUAACUUCGUGCCAGCAGCCGCAGUAAGAC